rnacentral:rRNA from 1 species
UACGUAGGGUGCGAGCGUUGUCCGGAAUUAUUGGGCGUAAAGAGCUCGUAGGCGGUUUGUCGCGUCUGCUGUGAAAACUCGGGGCUUAACUCCGGGCCUGCAGUGGGUACGGGCAGACUAGAGUACUGCAGGGGAGACUGGAAUUCCUGGUGUAGCGGUGGAAUGCGCAGAUAUCAGGAGGAACACCGGUGGCGAAGGCGGGUCUCUGGGCAGUAACUGACGCUGAGGAGCGAAAGCGUGGGGAGCGAACAGG